UUUGAUACCUUUCUGGAAUGUUCUCAGGGAGGAAAUCAGAAGUGUUUGAACCUGGAGUUCAUUCUUUAGAGAGCCAGGAGGAACAGAAUGAAGAGACUCCCAUCACAGAUGGCAGGUGGGAGCUGGAAGCCCAUGCAGACCAAGAGUGUGGAACUCCAACUCCUCUGGCCAGGGGAAUAAAGAUGAAAUUGUCCUCUAGUUCACCUUGGAGAAAAUGCAUCUUGAUUUUUCAGUCUGGCUUUUGCUAAACGAUGGGAACGCCCACUUGCUACACUGUUGUCUCCGCAACCAGUAACCCUGCCCAGAACACUGGCUGAAGAUAAACAUAAUGGAGGCAGCACGGAGACAGGAUAUUUCCUGGUGGAAUUCCAGGCUUGCCCUGUGUGCAACGCAAAUCCUGUGCUCAGCUGGCAAGGUUGCGAAGGUCUUUCUUCCAUGCCAGAAAAAGCAAGAUACUCUGGGGCUGGCUCUGAUGAUCGGACAAGAGAUUAUGUAAUUACCCUCGACGUGCAGCUUCUACGGAGCCAAGAAAUGGCUUUAACUCUUCAGAAGGCCCAUGUUGACUUCAAACAACUUCAAAUCUGCAGACCGGAGCAUCUGGACAGAUGGCAGAUAGCUCAGAGUGGACACAUCCGGCCCGUCCACCACAGAGAAUCUGUGACCUUUGAGAUGGAGUUCGUGUUCGGAUCAGAGUUGGGCUUUUGGAAGAGGAAAGGAAAACUGAAGCGGAAGGAAUGGAGCUUGCAGUCCUACGGCCUCGUUCUGAGGGAGGAGGCCGGAAGUCAGUAGCAGCAACUGGACUCCACGCCCAGCUGUCAGUCACUGCUGAUCUUUGCUGACAGGCUUUGCAGAGCUCCAAUGAAAAGCUCCAUCUUCAGAUCUCAGUUUUGCCGAAACUCACAACCCCACAGAGAAUUCAGGAGCACUUAUGGAGCACCUGGCACACAGUGUGUCCUAGAUGAGCGUGACAUCAGUGCUCUCCGCCUAAAUGAUGCAAGCAUGUACUUUGCUACUCUGUGUUUGUGAGAGAGAACUGUGCUCCUAUUUGAGGCUGCGAGUUCCUUUCUCUCUCUCUCGCUCUCCGUCUUUCUGCAGCUCUGUUUCAUUGUAUUUAAAACAUAGUUUAGAGAAGAUUUGAAGAAACACAUAGGCACUUAGAACAAAGGUAUGAAAUGACAAGGAAUAAUUGUGUAGUUUCCGAAAUAUUUAAAAUAGAACUUGUGUUUUUAAAGUAUAAUCCCACAGCAUGAGAAUCAUGACACCUGAAAUUCAGAAGGAACCCUUUCUAGUUCACAGAGGAGCAGAGAGGGCCGUUGUGUGCUGCAGGGAGGGCACAGGUGAGCCGCAGGGACCCCUAGACCCAGCCAUGCUGGGGCGGGCUGGCAGGAGGACCCUGAGGCCUCUGGCAUGGGUGGCCUCGGCUUCAGCGUGGGGAGGAGCUGCCCCAUGGGGCCUCUGUGGUGCAGGAACUCAGCAGAAGCCUCCAGGUUCUGAAGUAAGUCCCCGCUGGAGCAGUCUCUGCUUUAAAGUUCUCACUUUUGUCAGUCCACGUCUGCAGUACACAGGAUCACAUUCCUCGUGGGAAGUGGCUCGUGCACGUAAUACUCAUCGUUCUUUCUAGUCCCCUCUGCCUCCCUCUGCUCUCCUUCCCAUGACACCCCAGAAAUAAGCAGUGGGGACUCAGGGCACCCGCCUGGAGGGAAGGCUUGGUGAGCCCUGGGCACCGUUCUCCCCGACUCUGGACAGCAGGGCUGGCCUCGGCUGACCUGUGUGCUCCUGUUUCUCCCUGGGACGUCCUGGCCAUGGAGGCCACUGCCCGGGGGACAGGCCUGAGAGGGUGAGCCCUGCUGUGGGCCGUCCUGGGGCUCCCAGUGGCUCCUGGGCCUCAGGGUCCACCCCACCAGAGAUCCGACGGCCAGGCUGCCCCACAUUGGGGUGCCAGUGUCCUGCUUUCUCAUUGGCAGGUGCAGGAUCUGGGGUACUGAGGAGGCCGGGUGGGGUGUGGCUGUCAGGGUACUUCACCCGUCCCAGGAAACAGAGGCCUCUGUCACCGUGUCCCUGGGUGGCGCCAGGUGGGCAGUACCCCGUGAGGAGCAGAGUGCCCACUCCCACUGCUGCCUGAGCACCUAGGCAGGAAGAACGCACCAGGGUGAAUUCGAGGAGAUGCCCGUCCAGGGGAGCUGCUUAGGAGCCGGGGAGGGCGGGUAAGAAAUGGUGGCUCUCGAGGGCAGCCAGUCUGGGCACGCGGAGGGCCAGGGACGCCCAGUGCUGAUGGCUGGCACCGCCUGUGCUCUCUCCUCUGCCGCCCGCGUCCUGGAGCCCUGCAGCUGUCCUCGCCCGCACACGUGGAAGGAGGCCCCGUGCCUCACUCUGCUCAGGCUUCCGGACGGAGGCCCUGGUUCUGCGGGCUGUGACUCGGCUCUGUCCACUGGGCCCUCACUCGGCCGACGCUCUGGUGGCUCCUGGGUCCCCUGGGUGGGGGUGUGCUGUCUGUCCUCCUCCCGGGGAAGGCUUCCCCUCCCCUCCCAGAACUGCUCCUGGGGACCAGGCCCUCAGUGCAUGGCGCUGGCUCGGCCAUCCUAACGCGGCAGCCGAGAGACCCUGCCCCACCACUCGAGCCCUGAGCCUGGGCCUCCCCCCGCUGUCUGCUCUCUGGGCCUGCAGCUGUUGAAGGCUUUGGCACAGUGGGCCAGGCCUGGAAGGCCCUCAGAACACCAGGCCUCAGCACUGGUGCAGUACAUGCCCUACUCCUCGGCACAUAGCACUGCAUGGUCUUGCUGAGCCCUGAGCAUUUGGGGUAAGGAUGAGAUCGUAUUCAAAGCAAGUAAUUUGCUAGUAAGUGUAACUAUGGACUUUGUUUUAUUUAGUGUUUCUAGAACUUAUUUGAAUGUAGAUGAUUUUUCUUCUCACAAAAUCCCUGUGUAAUUUGGAAGAUGAUGCAAAAUAAAAAGUGAAGUACACAAC
rnacentral:lncRNA from 1 species